GUCCACGCGGUAAACGAUGAACACUAGGUGUGGGUGGAGUCAAUCUGUCCGUGCCAAAGCCAACGCGUUAAGUGUUCCGCCUGGGAAGUACGGCCGCAAGGCUAAAACUCAAAGGAAUUGACGGGGCCCGCACAAGCAGCGGAGCGUGUGGUUUAAUUCGAUGCGACACGAAGAACCUUACCUGGGUUUGACAUGCUGGUAGUAGUGAAGCGAAAGCGGAACGACCCGCAAGGGAGCCAGCACAGGUGCUGCAUGGCUGUCGU
rnacentral:rRNA from 1 species